UACGGAGGGGGCUAGCGUUGUUCGGAAUUACUGGGCGUAAAGCGCACGUAGGCGGCUUUUUAAGUCAGAGGUAAAAGCCCGGAGCUCAACUCCGGAAUUGCCUUUGAGACUGGGAGGCUUGAAUCCAGGAGAGGUGAGUGGAAUUCCGAGUGUAGAGGUGAAAUUCGUAGAUAUUCGGAAGAACACCAGUGGCGAAGGCGGCUCACUGGACUGGUAUUGACGCUGAGGUGCGAAAGCGUGGGGAGCAAACAGG
rnacentral:rRNA from 1 species